UACGAAGGGGGCUAGCGUUGCUCGGAAUCACUGGGCGUAAAGGGUGCGUAGGCGGGUCUUUAAGUCAGGGGUGAAAUCCUGGAGCUCAACUCCAGAACUGCCUUUGAUACUGAAGAUCUUGAGUUCGGGAGAGGUGAGUGGAACUGCGAGUGUAGAGGUGAAAUUCGUAGAUAUUCGCAAGAACACCAGUGGCGAAGGCGGCUCACUGGCCCGAUACUGACGCUGAGGCACGAAAGCUAGGGGAGCAAACAGGAGUUAGAAACCCGG
rnacentral:rRNA from 1 species